AUGCAUCGACAUCAACCACGUCCAUGUCUAGCACAUCAGCCGACGACUAGGCCACCCCCUCCUGAACAACCUGGCAGUUCAACGUGGCAGCACCCACAACACUAUGGUCCCACGUCGAGCUUCGCGUUUUCUCCACAGCCACAGCAGCAUGGUCCCUCGUCGAGCUUUGUGUUUGAGCCAGAUUGGGACGACAUCAUUCUUCAUGACUUAAAGUUCCAUCGUGCAGGAGCCUAUGGAUAUCAUGCGUCUAUGUCGGCAUCACAUGAUACGUGGGGGAGUGAUCAACAUCCCGAGGAGAACAUAUAG
rnacentral:rRNA from 1 species